rnacentral:rRNA from 1 species
GACGAACGCUGGCGGCGUGCCUAAUACAUGCAAGUCGAGCGGACGAUUCGAAAGCUUGCUUUUGAAUCGUUAGCGGCGGACGGGUGAGUAACACGUGGGCAACCUGCCCUGUAGACGGGGAUAACACCGAGAAAUCGGUGCUAAUACCGGAUAACACGAAAUGUCGCAUGACGUUUCGUUGAAAGGCGGCGCAAGCUGCCGCUACAGGAUGGGCCCGCGGCGCAUUAGCUAGUUGGUGAGGUAACGGCUCACCAAGGCGACGAUGCGUAGCCGACCUGAGAGGGUGAUCGGCCACACUGGGACUGAGACACGGCCCAGACUCCUACGGGAGGCAGCAGUAGGGAAUCUUCCGCAAUGGACGAAAGUCUGACGGAGCAACGCCGCGUGAGCGAAGAAGGCCUUCGGGUCGUAAAGCUCUGUUGUUAGGGUAGAACAAGUAACGUAGUAACUGACGUUACUAUGACGGUACCUAACGAGAAAGCCACGGCUAACUACGUG